CGAACCCCCCAAGAAAUCAUCGAAGUCUUGGAGCUUACUCUCUUCGCUAAUUUAUAACCUAUAGUUCAAAACAACAUCUUUCUGAUCAGUUUACCAUGCACAAAGAUAUACAAGAGAAGACAAUAAUGCAAAUAGAAUAAUAUGCUCACAUGAAAUUUAAAGUUGUGAUUUUCUUAAUAAACAGGCAAAGGUGGAGGAGAGUACUAGUAAUAUACUGGAGGAGGUGGCGAUGGAGAGGAGGGUGGUGGGGACUUGUAGUAAUAAGGAGGUGGAGGGGAUGGAGAUGGUGGUGGUGGGGACUUGUA
rnacentral:lncRNA from 1 species